rnacentral:rRNA from 1 species
CGGAGGGAUCAUUACCGAGUUUUCAACUCCCAAACCCCUGCUGAACAUACCUGUAACGUUGCUUCGGCGGGACCGCCCCGGCGCCCUCANCGGCCCGGAACCAGGCGCCCGCCGGAGGACCCAAACUCUUGCUUUAAUCAGUGGCAUUUUCUGAGUCUCACAAACAAAAUAAAUCAAAACUUUCAACAACGGAUCUCUUGGCUCUGGCAUCGAUGAAGAACGCAGCGAAAUGCGAUAAGUAAUGUGAAUUGCAGAAUUCAGUGAAUCAUCGAAUCUUUGAACGCACAUUGCGCCCGCCAGUAUUCUGGCGGGCAUGCCUGUUCGAGCGUCAUUUCAACCCUCAAGCCCCCAGGGGCUUGGUGUUGGGGACCGGCCCGCCCUCUGCGGCGGCGGCCGCCCCCGAAAUGCAGUGGCGACCUCGCCGCAGCCUCCCCUGCGUAGUAGCACAACCUCGCACCGGAGCGCGGAGACGGUCACGCCGUAAAACGCCCAACUUUCUUUAGAGUUGACCUCGGAUCAGG